AAUGAACGCUGGCGGCGCGCCUAAUACAUGCAAGUCGAGCGAGAAGACGUAGCAAUACGUUUGUAAAGCGGCGAACGGGUGAGGAAUACAUGGGUAACCUACCCUCGAGUGGGGAAUAACUAGCCGAAAGGUUAGCUAAUACCGCGUACGCUUCUUGGACUUCGGUUCAGGGAGGAAAGCGAUGCCGAGGGUAUCGCGCUCUUGGAUGGGCUCAUGUCCUAUCAGCUUGUUGGGAGGUAACGGCUCACCAAGGCUUCGACGGGUAGCUGGUCUGAGA
rnacentral:rRNA from 1 species